rnacentral:rRNA from 1 species
GCCAGCCCGCUCAGAAACUUAAAGGAAUUGACGGGGGCCCGCGACAAGCGGUGGAGUAUGUGGUUUAAUUCGAUGCAACGCGAAGAACCUUACCUGGUCUUGACAUCCCGGAGACCCUUAGGAAACUAGGGGGUGCUUCCAUCUGGAAGAAUCUGGAGACAGGUGCUGCAUGGCUGUCGUCAGCUCGUGUCGUGAGAUGUUGGGUUAAGUCCCGCAACGAGCGCAACCCUUGCCUUUAGUUGCCAGCAGUUCGGCUGGGCACUCUAAAGGGACUGCCGGUGUUAAACCGGAGGAAGGUGGGGAUGACGUCAAGUCCUCAUGGCCUUUAUGACCAGGGCUACACACGUACUACAAUGGCCGAUACAAAGGGCAGCGACACUGCGAGGUGAAGCCAAUCCCGUAAAAUCGGUCUCAGUCCGGAUUGGAGUCUGCAACUCGACUCCAUGAAGUUGGAAUCGCUAGUAAUCGUGGAUCAGCAUGCCACGGUGAAUACGUUCCCGGGCCUU